AAGAGCCGGAUGAUGGGAGACUAUCAAGUCCGGUUCUGUAGCAGCGGAAGGGGCGGUUCCUACCGCUGAC
rnacentral:ncRNA from 1 species